rnacentral:rRNA from 1 species
GCAGAAGAAGCGCCGGCUAACUAGUGCCAGCAGCCGCGGUAUAACGUAGGGCGCAAGCGUUGUCCGAAAUUAUGGGCGUAAAGAGCUCGUAGGCGGUUUGUCGCGUCUGGUGUGAAAUCCCGAGGCUCAACCUCGGGCUUGCAUCGGGUACGGGCAGACUAGAGUGCGGUAGGGGAGACUGGAAUUCCUGGUGUAGCGGUGGAAUGCGCAGAUAUCAGGAGGAACACCGAUGGCGAAGGCAGGUCUCUGGGCCGCAACUGACGCUGAGGAGCGAAAGCAUGGGGAGCGAACAGGAUUAGAUACCCUGGUAGUCCAUGCCGUAAACGUUGGGCACUAGGUGUGGGGCUCAUUCCACGAGUUCCGUGCCGCAGCUAACGCAUUAAGUGCCCCGCCUGGGGAGUACGGCCGCAAGGCUAAAACUCAAAGGAAUUGACGGGGGCCCGCACAAGCGGCGGAGCAUGCGGAUUAAUUCGAUGCAACGCGAAGAACCUUACCAAGGCUUGACAUGCACCGGAAACACUCAGAGAUGGGUGCCCCGCAAGGUCGGUGCACAGGUGGUGCAUGGUUGUCGUCAGCUCGUGUCGUGAGAUGUUGGGUUAAGUCCCGCAACGAGCGCAACCCUCGUCCCAUGUUGCCAGCGGGUUAUGCCGGGGACUCAUGGGAGACUGCCGGGGUCAACUCGGAGGAAGGUGGGGAUGACGUCAAAUCAUCAUGCCCCUUAUGUCUUGGGCUUCACGCAUGCUACAAUGGCCGGUACAGAGGGCUGCGAUACCGUAAGGUGGAGCGAAUCCCAAAAAGCCGGUCUCAGUUCGGAUUGGGGUCUGCAACUCGACCCCAUGAAGUCGGAGUCGCUAGUAAUCGCAGAUCAGCAACGCUGCGGUGAAUACGUUCCCGGGCCUUGUACACACC